GUGGAGACUUAAAUUUAUAUCUCUGUCCAGGGCUGGACGCCACCACCACCAUGAACACUGGUGAAUACAACAAGCUGGGCAGUGCAAUUGAAGAGGUCUCCAGAGGGCAAUUGGGACGUUGGGAGUGCUACAAACAAAGACUUUUCUUCCUGGUCUUGGCUCUGCUGGUGGCCACAGUUCUAUGGGCUCUCAUUCUGAGCACCCUACUGUCCAGUGCCUCCAGCAAGCUCAGGGUGCUGCUCAGCCACCAGGACCUGCUGAGGACAAAUGCCUCAGAGCAGAAGAUGACGUUGAGUUCCCUGAAGGAUGAUAUCGGAGCCUGCAGGAAUUGCUGCUCCGUGACAAAAGCGCAGUUGCAAACCACACUGGCGGAGUUUAAGGACAUACAAGCAAAGUUGAUGGAGCAGGAGAGCAUCCUGAAAGAACUGCAAGAGCGUGUGACCCAGGACUUGGCUAAAGCAAGCAGAGACCGUGAGAACAUCCGCAGUGAGCUGUUCCAGGCACUGGAAGCUGUCAAGCGCCAGAACAGCUCCUGUGAGCAGUGCCCACCAUCAUGGCUACCCUUCCAAGGUUCCUGCUACUAUUUCUCUGAGACACAGGCCACAUGGGAUACAGCACAAAGCUACUGUGGAGGCCAGGGUGCCCAUCUGGUGAUUGUCAGAGGCCUGAACGAGCAGGGCUUCCUGAGUCAGCACACACGUGGCCGGGGCUAUUGGUUGGGUCUGAGGGCAGUUCGCCACCUCAACAAGAUUCAAGGCUACCGGUGGGUAGAUGGAGCCUCACUCAACUUCAGGAGGGCCUGGGGGAGAUGGCCCAGCUCUGCAAGCAAGAGAACCUGACUCUGAAUUCCCAGAACCCACGUAAGAACCGAAUGGACAUGCAGCCUGCCUAUAGCUCCAGCCUGGGAAGACGGUCAGGAAAUCCCUGCAGCAAGCAGGCUUGUGAGACUACAGUGUAGGAGAGACUUCCUGGAAAGUCAAGAAAUAGCUUCCUAAGAAAUGAUUCCACAGCGGCUCCCCAGAGGGCCAUAUGAACACCUUAUCUGCAGCUGAGUUAGUGAAUCCUAGAGCCCCUGGAAGCCAGAUGGGGCUUCCUGCAUGUACCAACCUGGCCGUCACAACACUCUCCCUGGAAAUGGCCUUGAGAUAGGACAAAGCAACCGAUCCCAGGAAACCCCCUUGCAUCCCAGCUUCUUCUUCCCAGGAAGCACAUGGGGAAGCCCCCAGGGGUCCGAACAGGCAGACUGGCGUCUCUCCUCAAGCUCUUGGUAGCAUUUUCCCUGAUCAGAUUCAUCCCUCCGUCCCCACACAGCCCAGACUCUUGCCACUCAGGAGCCCUAGCAUAGAUAUCUCUGAUUUGCAGGAGCUGAGAGAAAGCUGGAAAUUAGAAACCUGUGCUGGCCGCUGGCUGUGUGCAUGUAGCCGCUGGCUGUGUGCGUGUAGAUGCAGGGCUUCCCCUCUCGGGGGUUCUUUUCUCAUAUUUACCCAGUGAGUAUAAGAAUAGUAUUUACCUCCCCAGUAUGAACUAAAGGAUACCUCUACUUCCUACGCCCUGUAAGUGCUACCACAUAAAAGACAUGCUACAGACCCGUUAGCACUCCCUAAGUAUCGGUAGGCAUCGUAACUGUUGCUGGGAGAGGAACUGGUGGGGCCCUGCUCCUUCCUAGGAUCCAUGGGCAGUCCAUGUUGUCUCAAGGAGAGCCACUUUCUUUAGUGGUGUGGCCAUCAAUAAGAUGUCCACACCCCUGGAGAUAACCCUCAUCUAUGCUCUUGUCGGAACCCACUGAAACUCACUGGAUCACUGAAAAAGAUGUGAAAGUAGAUGUGGCAAGAGGAAGGGGGUGAGAGGGAGCAGGAGAGAAACCAGAGGGCAGUGGAGUGAUUGUGAUAUAAAUACAUUAUAUACACUAUGAAAAUUCCAUAAUAAAACCCACUGUUAUAUAAAAGCAGCAGAUACUAAUAAAAGCCUUUUAAAGACCUG